rnacentral:lncRNA from 13 species
CUGAUGUCAUUGUUUUGCCAGUUCAAAUGAACGAUAGACAAGUUACCUCCCUUUUAGGUCUCUUUACCCUCCCAGUUUAUAAUGGUUUCAAACAUUUUCUUUAUGGAGAGAUAGAACCACAGUGAAUGGUGCUAUGAUUUUUUUCUGAAACCAUCAAGCAUAGUUUAGAAAACUCAACAGAAGGAAGGCCUAUUUUGCUUGCCCUUCCUUCCUUCCUUUCUUUUCCUUGCUUCCUUCCUUUUUCUUUCUUUCAUUCAUUCUAUAUCCCAAGGUUCCUUCUUUAAUCAUUUCAUUUUCUUUCUGUCUAAAGAACUUCCUUUAACCUUUCUUUUAAAGUGAGAGAUUCCCUUAGCUUUUCUUACCUUGAAACUGUUUUGAUCUUUUCCUUAAUCCUUGAACGCUAUUUCUGCUGGAGAAAGGCGUCUGGGCUGACAAACGUUUUCUUUCAUGGCAUGAAAAGCAUUGCACAGCUUCUCUCUGCCUCCAUGGUUUCUGAUGAAAAGUCCAUCGUCCCUGGAAUUGCUUUUCCUUUCUAGGUGAGGUGUCACCUUUCUCUGUUGCUGUCAAGGUGUUUUCUUUGCCUUUAGUUUCCAACAUUUCACUCUUUCAUGUGUCUGGUCAUAGACCUCUUUUGGUUUUAUCCUGUUUGGGGUUCUUACAGCUUCUUGAGCCUGUAGGUUUAUGUCUCUUGCCAAAUAUGGGAAGCUGUCAGCCAUUUGCUUCCUUUUGGGUGGGGGGUGGUUACCAGUUUUAUUUCUAGACUUUUAUGUUUGUCUCUUGUCUUCUGCUGGAAACAUGCCGGUUACAUGUGGGUGCUGGGAAGCGCCAUGGUGCAACCAGAAACAGACCCAGCUGCCCGCUGCCCAGACCCUCAGACGUGUGCCUCACAGGACAGACUCUGCAGUGCCCCGUCCACCUGCCACCAGCCUUUGGCCUCUCAACACACACACAUCUAGGAUUCAUGCCCUCACCCCAUCAUGACGGACAAAGUGUCCCUCAAGGGCCCUGCGUGGUUCAGAUAGACGCUGCAGCCAGGAUGGCUGAGCUACACGCAAAGAAUGACACAGCUGUAAAAACUACGAGGACGCUACAAUCCGAUGAAGAGCCCAGUAUCACAGGCGCAGGGAAGAGAAGAUGAACACAGCCCGGUCUCUGGGGACACCGGUGCAGGAUUGCGCCCACGUGUCUGCGUGCGGAAGCAGACAGAACCUACCAGCUGGGUCCACCAUGGCUAAGUGAAGCAUGAGGAACCUUUUUGGAAUAGAGCAGUAAUCACAUUAAGUCAAAAUUGAACACAUAAAUAAAAAUACAGAAAAGGCAUCCGUAAUACA